rnacentral:rRNA from 1 species
CAAGUAGGUGGUCUCAUUUGUCUAGGGUGAAAUCCUUGAGCUUAACUCAAGAAGUGCCCUAGAAACGGUGAGACUCGAGUUCUGGAGAGGGUCGUGGAAUUCCCGGUGUAGCGGUGAAAUGCGUAGAGAUCGGGAGGAACACCAGAGGCGAAGGCGGCGACCUGGACAGAUACUGACACUCAACUGCGAAAGUGUGGGGAGCAAACA